UAGGAUGAGACUGGGGCUUUGGCACAAGUCCAGGUUUGCCAGUUAUCUGUGAGAAAUUGGCUGACUGUUCCAAGAAGGACACCCAAUAGAUAAGAGCAAAGUGGUUUUGGUGCACUCAUGUCCACUCCUGCUGUGAUCUGGCUGCCUCCAUGAAGUGAGGUGCCCAAUCCCAUGGCUCCCAGCCCUCAACAGAUGCUGGCCCC